rnacentral:rRNA from 1 species
CAGCGCCACGAGUGGUAAUCACGUUUAUUGGGCCUAAAGCGUCCGUAGCCUGUUUGUUAAGUCUUUUGUGAAAUCGUUGGGCUCAACUUAACGCUGUGCAAGAGAGACUGGCAAACUUGGAACCGGGAAGGGUCAGAGGUAUUCUAGGGGGAGCGGUAAAAUGCUAUAAUCCUUAGAGGACCACCUGUGGCGAAGGCGUCUGACUAGAACGGAUCCGACGGUGAGGGACGAAAGCUGGGGGAGCAAACCGGAUUAGAUACCCGAGUAGUCC